ACCGGCGUCUCUGGCCAAUCACAAGCUUGACUGCGAUUGGCAUCGGCAGCCUCUGAGUGAAGGGUCCUCCUGAUGGCUGGCUAAAUUGUGAUUUCUUCCUCUUCUACGGAACUGUGUGCAAGUUAAAGAUGCAGUUCAUGCUGCUUUUCAGCAGACAGGGCAAGCUGCGGCUGCAGAAGUGGUACGUGCCCCUGUCGGACAAGGAGAAGAAGAAGAUCACCAGGGAGCUGGUGCAGACCAUCCUGGCUCGCAAGGCCAAAAUGUGCAGCUUCUUGGAGUGGAGAGACCUCAAGGUUGUCUACAAGAGAUACGCCAGCUUGUACUUCUGCUGCGCCAUCGAGGAGCAGGACAACGAGCUGAUCACGCUGGAGAUCAUCCACAGAUAUGUAGAACUGCUGGACAAAUACUUUGGCAGCGUGUGCGAGCUGGACAUCAUCUUCAACUUUGAGAAGGCCUACUUCAUCUUGGACGAGUUCCUGCUGGGCGGCGAAGCUCAGGAGACGUCCAAGAAGAAUGUGCUCAAGGCCAUCGAGCAGGGUGACCUGCUGCAAGAGGUGACUGCAGGAGAACACGGAAGACGGACAAGAGUAAAAGUUCAUCAAAAAUUGACAUUCGCAUCAACAACGAGCGAAAGUGCUGAUUUGCCAACACAGCUCGCAAAAGAUAAUGCAUCUUGUCUACAAACAAACAAAAGAACAUCUCUGGCGAACCGCCGUAUUUGUGGCAUCGUGGGCCGCCGCUCGCUUUUGGAGACGGAGCUUUGGAUGCUCGGGCCGGAUUGAGGGCAAAUCUCCAGCGUGGGCGGCGAUAAGUCUUAUCUGCUGUCGGAGGCUCUGCGGAGAGAAGAAGAAGAAUGUCACUCAGCUUCCCGUUUGGACGGCGACGUGAAACAAUCGGUCGCCGGAGGAGUGCUCAGAUAUUUGUUGUGGUGCCAUUCAUCCAUCUUGAGUGAAUGAACAAACAAGUCAUUUUCAUCAGCGCCCCAUAAUCCGUCUCACCUCAGCCCAGGAAGACGAUGCUUCAUCACCCAAGGACAAUGCUGAGGUUUGAGGCCUGUCCUGAUGAUGGUCUGUGGAUUUGUUUGCCACGACGGAAGAUGCCGAGGAUUACCGGGAUCACGGCUGUAAACACUUGUCCUGGUCUUCACCGAGUCAAAGUCCACAAAAAGACGCGGGAGGUUUGCUCGCAAAAGGUCGUUGCCAGGCCGAAACUGAGUGACCGACUCCCAGAGCAACGUGCCGAUGCGCUUACGCGUGAUGUACUUUCCCGGACGGAAGAAAAUGUCGUUCUCAUCUACCGCGUAUCAUUUUAGCAAGCCUGGAUAGUUUUGUUGUUGUUGUUUUCUUCUUUUUGCUUUGACUUGAAAUGUAGGAGAGUUACAGUUCAUAUGGAUUCAAAGCAAUCACAUAGCCACCGCUAGCUUAAUGCUAGCACAUAAUGAAAAACGCCAAGGACCGGCUAACGAAUAUAACUCUUGAAGCAAUGGCUGCUUGUGUAGACAGGUGGACCCCUAUAAUCAAUGCUCAUUUUAAUAUGUUAAAAUAAAUUUGAAACAAA